UUUAAUGUUCAAAUAUUAAACCCAGCAGCAGCAGCCAUCCAGCAGAGUACAUGGGGAUAAAUUAUGAAUAAUCGUUGUAAAAUUGUUAAACUG